GACGAACGCUGGCGGCGUGCUUAACACAUGCAAGUCGAACGGAAAGGCCCUGCUUUUGUGGGGUGCUCGAGUGGCGAACGGGUGAGUAACACGUGAGUAACCUGCCCUUGACUUUGGGAUAACUUCAGGAAACUGGGGCUAAUACCGGAUAGGAGCUCCUGCUGCAUGGUGGGGGUUGGAAAGUUUCGGCGGUUGGGGAUGGACUCGCGGCUUAUCAGCUUGUUGGUGGGGUAGUGGCUUACCCAGGCUUUGACGGGUAGCCGGCCUGAGAGGGUGAACGGCCACAUUGGGACUGAGAUACGGCGCAGACUCCUACGGGAGGCAGCAGUGGGGAAUAUUGCACAAUGGGCGGAAGCCUGAUGCAGCAACGCCGCGUGCGGGAUGACGGCCUUCGGGUUGUAAACCGCUUUCGCCUGUGACGAAGCGUGAGUGACGGUAAUGGGUAAAGAAGCACCGGCUAACUACGUG
rnacentral:rRNA from 1 species